UAAUGUAUGUCAAGAUCAUGAACAGAACCUUAUGCCCAUUACAGACGAUGCUAAGAGAAACCAUAAAAGAUUCAGAGGAUCACAACACUAAUCUCAAGCUUUAGAUUCACUCACACUUGCUUCAGUAAUGCUCUGUUUAUUGGACACGGGGGACUUGGAGUGAGUACUAAUCUAGCCACAGUGGACCUCAACCUGAAGGCCAAAUUCUUAGGGCGACGGUAGGAUUAAUAAAGCCAUUGUUCCGAUGAAUUCACUCUUUACUGUUGAUCUGAAGUUUAAUGCAGAAAAUGACACAAGUCAUUGCAGCUUAGCUGAUGAGUCAAAGCCCCAAUACUUAUUGAUUGAGGCAAAGAAGAACGGGGAAAGGAAGAAGGGGGUAUGGUUUUGUGGUGGGUGUCUUCUAGCUGCUUCAUCUUCAUCUUAUUCUCCUUUCCAUAAUAUUUUCUGCAGCCAUUUUCAAAAACCCAUAAUCACCAGCACCACCUUAGCCUCCAUAACCUCCACCACCAUCCACAACUACAACUUCUCACCAUUCUGGCACUGCCAACCCCAUGGAGCUUAAAGCAACCCUGGUCACCAUGACCAUCCACAAGCACUGCCCUCUAUGAGCAUCACCAAGUGAAGCAUGCCAUGAGCUCUACAACCUCCACCGUCCAUGUCAAGCUCUCACGGUUUCACACCACCAGUAAUUAUCUGAAGAUUCCCCUCCUUCAUUGGCAUUGCAGCGCUCGAGCUUCUUGCCAAGUGGCAAGCAUGGUGUUGGAGUCAUAUUCUAACUCGACGCUAGCUAAAACAUGAAGCAUGGUGUCCUCAUCUAAUAUGGAAGUUCAAAAGUUCCAAGAUUGUCGGCAAACAUCUUCAUUUUUGGUAAGAUAAUCAUCCAUGGACGUUGACCCUUUUCUUGUUUGGAGUUAAAUUUUUUAUUGGAAAACUGUAGAACAAGCUUCGGAUGCAUACACCAUUUCCAACGCCUUCUAUGUCUCAUGAGUUGUUGAGAGGCUCACUCUCUUGGGUAAAAUGCUAUGUAAAAUUGAAGAC